GAGUUUGAUCAUGGCUCAGAUUGAACGCUGGCGGCAGGCCUAACACAUGCAAGUCGAACGGUAACAGAAAGCAGCUUGCUGCUUUGCUGACGAGUGGCGGACGGGUGAGUAAUGUCUGGGAAACUGCCUGAUGGAGGGGGAUAACUACUGGAAACGGUAGCUAAUACCGCAUAACGUCGCAAGACCAAAGAGGGGGACCUUCGGGCCUCUUGCCAUCGGAUGUGCCCAGAUGGGAUUAGCUUGUUGGUGGGGUAACGGCUCACCAAGGCGACGAUCCCUAGCUGGUCUGAGAGGAUGACCAGCCACACUGGAACUGAGACACGGUCCAGACUCCUACGGGAGGCAGCAGUGGGGAAUAUUGCACAAUGGGCGCAAGCCUGAUGCAGCCAUGCCGCGUGUAUGAAGAAGGCCUUCGGGUUGUAAAGUACUUUCAGCGGGGAGGAAGGGAGUAAAGUUAAUACCUUUGCUCAUUGACGUUACCCGCAGAAGAAGCACCGGCUAACUCCGUGCCAGCAGCCGCGGUAAUACGGAGGGUGCAAGCGUUAAUCGGAAUUACUGGGCGUAAAGCGCACGCAGGCGGUUUGUUAAGUCAGAUGUGAAAUCCCCGGGCUCAACCUGGGAACUGCAUCUGAUACUGGCAAGCUUGAGUCUCGUAGAGGGGGGUAGAAUUCCAGGUGUAGCGGUGAAAUGCGUAGAGAUCUGGAGGAAUACCGGUGGCGAAGGCGGCCCCCUGGACGAAGACUGACGCUCAGGUGCGAAAGCGUGGGGAGCAAACAGGAUUAGAUACCCUGGUAGUCCACGCCGUAAACGAUGUCGACUUGGAGGUUGUGCCCUUGAGGCGUGGCUUCCGGAGCUAACGCGUUAAGUCGACCGCCUGGGGAGUACGGCCGCAAGGUUAAAACUCAAAUGAAUUGACGGGGGGCCCGCACAAGCGGUGGAGCAUGUGGUUUAAUUCGAUGCAACGCGAAGAACCUUACCUGGUCUUGACAUCCACAGAACUUUCCAGAGAUGGAUUGGUGCCUUCGGGAACUGUGAGACAGGUGCUGCAUGGCUGUCGUCAGCUCGUGUUGUGAAAUGUUGGGUUAAGUCCCGCAACGAGCGCAACCCUUAUCCUUUGUUGCCAGCGGUCCGGCCGGGAACUCAAAGGAGACUGCCAGUGAUAAACUGGAGGAAGGUGGGGAUGACGUCAAGUCAUCAUGGCCCUUACGACCAGGGCUACACACGUGCUACAAUGGCGCAUACAAAGAGAAGCGACCUCGCGAGAGCAAGCGGACCUCAUAAAGUGCGUCGUAGUCCGGAUUGGAGUCUGCAACUCGACUCCAUGAAGUCGGAAUCGCUAGUAAUCGUGGAUCAGAAUGCCACGGUGAAUACGUUCCCGGGCCUUGUACACACCGCCCGUCACACCAUGGGAGUGGGUUGCAAAAGAAGUAGGUAGCUUAACCUUCGGGAGGGCGCUUACCACUUUGUGAUUCAUGACUGGGGUGAAGUCGUAACAAGGUAACCGUAGGGGAACCUGCGGUUGGAUCACC
rnacentral:rRNA from 1 species